rnacentral:rRNA from 1 species
GUGGAUUAGUGGCGAACGGGUGAGUAACACGUGGGUGAUCUGCCCUGCACUCUGGGAUAAGCCUGGGAAACUGGGUCUAAUACCGGAUAUGACCUCGGGAUGCAUGUUCUGGGGUGGAAAGUUUUUCGGUGCAGGAUGAGCCCGCGGCCUAUCAGCUUGUUGGUGGGGUAAUGGCCUACCAAGGCGACGACGGGUAGCCGGCCUGAGAGGGCGACCGGCCACACUGGGACUGAGACACGGCCCAGACUCCUACGGGAGGCAGCAGUGGGGAAUAUUGCACAAUGGGCGCAAGCCUGAUGCAGCGACGCCGCGUGAGGGAUGACGGCCUUCGGGUUGUAAACCUCUUUCACCCAUGACGAAGCGCAAGUGACGGUAGUGGGAGAAGAAGCACCGGCCAACUACGUGCCAGCAGCCGCGGUAAUACGUAGGGUGCGAGCGUUGUCCGGAAUUACUGGGCGUAAAGAGCUCGUAGGCGGUUUGUCGCGUCGUCUGUGAAAUCCCGCAGCUCAACUGCGGGCUUGCAGGCGAUACGGGCAGACUCGAGUACUGCAGGGGAGACUGGAAUUCCUGGUGUAGCGGUGAAAUGCGCAGAUAUCAGGAGGAACACCGGUGGCGAAGGCGGGUCUCUGGGCAGUAACUGACGCUGAGGAGCGAAAGCGUGGGU